UUUAAAGUCUGGCCUGCCCAAUGAUGUUUGAAUGGCCGCGGUAUAUUGACCGUGCAAAGGUAGCAUAAUAAUUAGUUUUUUAAUUGGAAGCUGGAAUGAACGGCUGGACGAGAAAGCAACUGUCUCAAGUUGAUUUAUGGAAUUUUAUUUUUAAGUGAAAAAGCUUAAAUUUAUUUAAAAGACGAGAAGACCCUAUAGAGUUUUAUAUUUUAUUGUAUAAUAAUUUAUAUGAAGUUUAAUUAUGAUUAUAUAUUGAUGUAUUUUGUUGGGGUGACAGAAAAAUUGGUAUAACUUUUUCUUUUUUAGUUCACUUAUUUGUGGUUGAUUGAUCCGUUUUUAGCGAUUAUAAGACUAAAUUACCUUAGGGAUAACAGCGUAAUUUUUUUUUAGAGUUCUUAUCGAAAUGAAAGUUUGCGACCUCGAUGUUGGAUUAAAAUUAAUGCUUGGUGCAGUAGCUAAGUUAUUGGGUCUGUUCGACCUUUGAAAUUUUACA
rnacentral:rRNA from 1 species